rnacentral:rRNA from 1 species
AGACCCGAAACCCGGUGAUCUAGCCAUGGGCAGGUUGAAGGUUGGGUAACACUAACUGGAGGACCGAACCGACUAAUGUUGAAAAAUUAGCGGAUGACCUGUGGCUGGGGGUGAAAGGCCAAUCAAACCGGGAGAUAGCUGGUUCUCCCCGAAAGCUAUUUAGGUAGCGCCUCGUGAAUUCAUCUCCGGGGGUAGAGCACUGUUUCGGCUAGGGGGCCAUCCCGGCUUACCAACCCGAUGCAAACUGCGAAUACCGGAGAAUGUUAUCACGGGAGACACACGGCGGGUGCUAACGUCCGUCGUGAAGAGGGAAACAACCCAGACCGCCAGCUAAGGUCCCAAAGUCAUGGUUAAGUGGGAAACGAUGUGGGAAGGCCCAGACAGCCAGGAUGUUGGCUUAGAAGCAGCCAUCAUUUAAAGAAAGCGUAAUAGCUCACUGGUCGAGUCGGCCUGCGCGGAAGAUGUAACGGGGCUAAACCAUGCACCGAAGCUGCGGCAGCGACACUCAGGUGUUGUUGGGUAGGGGAGCGUUCUGUAAGCCUGUGAAGGUGGCCUGUGAGGGUUGCUGGAGGUAUCAGAAGUGCGAAUGCUGACAUAAGUAACGAUAAAGCGGGUGAAAAGCCCGCUCGCCGGAAGACCAAGGGUUCCUGUCCAACGUUAAUCGGGGCAGGGUGAGUCGACCCCUAAGGCGAGGCCGAAAGGCGUAGUCGAUGGGAAACGGGUUAAUAUUCCCGUACUUGGUGUUACUGCGAAGGGGGGACGGAGAAGGCUAUGUUGGCCGGGCGACGGUUGUCCCGGUUUAAGCGUGUAGGUGUGUGUUCCAGGUAAAUCCGGUUCACUUUAACACUGAGGCGUGACGACGAGGCACUACGGUGCUGAAGCAACAAAUGCCCUGCUUCCAGGAAAAGCCUCUAAGCAUCAGGUAACAUCAAAUCGUACCCCAAACCGACACAGGUGGUCAGGUAGAGAAUACCAAGGCGCUUGAGAGAACUCGGGUGAAGGAACUAGGCAAAAUGGUGCCGUAACUUCGGGAGAAGGCACGCUGACACGUAGGUGAAGUGAUUUACUCAUGGAGCUGAAGUCAGUCGAAGAUACCAGCUGGCUGCAACUGUUUAUUAAAAACACAGCACUGUGCAAACACGAAAGUGGACGUAUACGGUGUGACGCCUGCCCGGUGCCGGAAGGUUAAUUGAUGGGGUCAGCGCAAGCGAAGCUCCUGAUCGAAGCCCCGGUAAACGGCGGCCGUAACUAUAACGGUCCUAAGGUAGCGAAAUUCCUUGUCGGGUAAGUUCCGACCUGCACGAAUGGCGUAAUGAUGGCCAGGCUGUCUCCACCCGAGACUCAGUGAAAUUGAACUCGCUGUGAAGAUGCAGUGUACCCGCGGCAAGACGGAAAGACCCCGUGAACCUUUACUAUAGCUUGACACUGAACAUUGAGCCUUGAUGUGUAGGAUAGGUGGGAGGCUUUGAAGUGUGGAC